rnacentral:rRNA from 1 species
AACGAACGCUGGCGGCAGGCUUAACACAUGCAAGUCGAGCGCCCCGCAAGGGGAGCGGCAGACGGGUGAGUAACACGUGGGAACAUACCCAUCUCUGCGGAACAACUCCGGGAAACUGGAGCUAAUACCGCAUACGCCCCUCGGGGGAAAGAUUUAUCGGAGAUGGAUUGGCCCGCGUUGGAUUAGCUAGUUGGUGGGGUAAAGGCCUACCAAGGCGACGAUCCAUAGCUGGUCUGAGAGGAUGAUCAGCCACAUUGGGACUGAGACACGGCCCAAACUCCUACGGGAGGCAGCAGUGGGGAAUAUUGGACAAUGGGCGCAAGCCUGAUCCAGCCAUGCCGCGUGAGUGAUGAAGGCCUUAGGGUUGUAAAGCUCUUUCACCGAUGAAGAUAAUGACGGUAGUCGGAGAAGAAGCCCCGGCUAACUUCGUGCCAGCAGCCGCCGUAA